rnacentral:rRNA from 1 species
GACGAACGCUGGCGGCGUGCUUAACACAUGCAAGUCGUACGGUAAGGCCCUUUCGGGGGUACCCGAGUGGCGAACGGGUGCGUAACACGUGAGUAACCUGCCCACAACUUUGGGAUAACGCUAGGAAACUGGUGCUAAUACUGGAUAUGUGCUCCUGCUGCAUGGUGGGGGUUGGAAAGCUCCGGCGGUUGUGGAUGGACUCGCGGCCUAUCAGCUUGUUGGUGGGGUAGUGGCCUACCAAGGCGGCGACGGGUAGCCGGCCUGAGAGGGUGAGCGGCCACAUUGGGACUGAGAUACGGCCCAGACUCCUACGGGAGGCAGCAGUGGGGAAUAUUGCACAAUGGGCGCAAGCCUGAUGCAGCAACGCCGCGUGCGGGAUGACGGCCUUCGGGUUGUAAACCGCUUUCAGCAGGGACGAAGCUUUUUGUGACGGUACCUGCAGAAGAAGCACCGGCUAACUACGUG